CUUGAACGCUGGCGGCAUGCUUUACACAUGCAAGUCGAACGGUAACAGGUUAAGCUGACGAGUGGCGAACGGGUGAGUAAUGCAUCGGAACGUGCCCGAUCGUGGGGGAUAACGCAGCGAAAGCUGCGCUAAUACCGCAUACGAUCUGAGGAUGAAAGCGGGGGACCGUAAGGCCUCGCGCGAUCGGAGCGGCCGAUGUCAGAUUAGGUAGUUGGUGGGGUAAAGGCCCACCAAGCCGACGAUCUGUAGCUGGUCUGAGAGGACGAUCAGCCACACUGGGACUGAGACACGGCCCAGACUCCUACGGGAGGCAGCAGUGGGGAAUUUUGGACAAUGGGCGAAAGCCUGAUCCAGCAAUGCCGCGUGCGGGAAGAAGGCCUUCGGGUUGUAAACCGCUUUUGGCAGGAACGAAACGGCGCAAGCUAAUACCUUGCGCUAAUGACGGUACCUGCAGAAUAAGCACCGGCUAACUACGUGCCAGCAGCCGCCGUAAGAC
rnacentral:rRNA from 1 species